rnacentral:rRNA from 1 species
UGGGGGAAUUUUUGGACAAUGGGCGAAAGCCUGAUCCCAGCAAUGCCGCGUGUGUGAAGAAGGCCUUCGGGUUGUAAAGCACUUUUGUCCGGAAAGAAAUCCUUGGCUCUAAUACAGUCGGGGGAUGACGGUACCGGAAGAAUAAGCACCGGCUAACUACGUGCCAGCAGCCGCGGUAAUACGUAGGGUGCAAGCGUUAAUCGGAAUUACUGGGCGUAAAGCUGCGCAGGCGGUUUGCUAAGACCGAUGUGAAAUCCCCGGGCUCAACCUGGGAACUGCAUUGGUGACUGGCAGGCUAGAGUAUGGCAGAGGGGGGUGGAAUUCUACGUGUAGUAGUGAAAUGCGUAGAGAUGUGGAGGAAUACCCGAUGGCGAAGGCAGCCCCCGUGGGCCAAUACUGACGCUCAUGCACGAAAGCGUGGGGAGCAAACAGGAUUAGAUACCCUGGUAGUCCACGCCCUAAACGAUGUCAACUAGUUGUUGGGGAUUCAUUUCCUUAGUAACGUAGCUAACGCGUGAAGUUGACCGCCU